CGGAAAAUUCGGGGAAAAAUCAGUUUUUUUUUUUUUUUUCGGUGUCCCUCACGAAAAAAAUGAAAAGGAAAAAAAAAAAAUUAAAAAAAGGAUGUGUUUUUCAUAUAAAAAAUACAUAUAC
rnacentral:ribozyme from 15 species